CAUUUAUCUCUGAAAAAAUGAUUUUUUAGGUCCCCCCUACCAUUAUUAGAACAAUAGUUCAGUCCAAAGUGUAGGAGGAGCAACAGCAGAGCCGCUGAAGUGAGAAGCUACCUGUUAGCUG